GGUAAAUCCUGCCCAGUGAGUCAUUUAACGGCCGCGGUAUCCUGACCGUGCAAAGGUAGCAUAAUCACUUGCCUAUUAAUUGUAGGCUAGAAUGAAAGGACAAACGAGAAUACACCUGUCUCCUUUAAGCCCCUAAAAAUUUAUCUUUAAGUGAAGAAGCUUAAAUAAACGUGCAGGACAAGAAGACCCUAUAGAGCUUUACCUAUAAGCCACAUAAACAGUGGUUAGCGGUUCGGUUGGGGCGACCAGGGGAUACUAUCCACCCCUAAAUUAUAAGAUCAACUAAUCCUAUCAUAGAUCCUUUAUCAAGAUCAAAGAAUCAAGCUACCUUAGGGAUAACAGGCUAAUCCUCUUAGAGAGCCCUUAUCGACAAGAGGGGUUGGCACCUCGAUGUUGGCUUAGGACGUCUCCAUGUCGCAGCACACAGGCAAGAUGGUUGGUCAACCAUUAAAUUCCUACGUGAUCUGAGUUCAAACCGG
rnacentral:rRNA from 1 species